AGGCGAGGACGAGAGUCGUAGCCGAUGGACAACAGGUGGAGAUUCCUGUACUGCGGUAUGACAGAACUGUGGGGACACGUAAGGAAAGCGGAAGCCGGGAAUGGAAAGCCCGGUGCAAGCGGGGUACCAGUCACUUUGGCAAAUCCGGGUGGCAAUGGGAAUCCGUGAUGCGGAGCGAAAUAAAGUAGCGAAGUCCGUGAGCCAUGCGUCAAGAAAAGCCGCUAUUGUUUAUACCGUACCCGUACCGUAAACCGACACAGGUGGAUGAGGAGAGAAUCCUAAGGCCGGCGGAAGAAGCAUUGUCAAGGAACUCGGCAAAAUGGCCCCGUAACUUAGGGAUAAGGGGUGCCUGGGAAACCAGGCCGCAGAGAAUAGGCUCAAGCAACUGUUUAGCAAAAACACAGGUCUAUGCGAAACCGAAAGGUGAGGUAUAUGGGCUGACGCCUGCCCGGUGCUGAAGGUUAAGAGGAGAGGUUAGCGUAAGCGAAGCUUUGAAUUUAAGCCCCAGUAAACGGCGGCCGUAACAAUAACGGUCCUAAGGUAGCGAAAUUCCUUGUCGGGUAAGUUCCGACCCGCACGAAAGGCGUAAUGAUUUGAGCGCUGUCUCGACAAUGCAUCCGGUGAAAUUGAAGUACCAGUGAAGAUGCUGGUUACCUGCGCCAGGACGGAAAGACCCCAUGGAGCUUUACUCCAGUUUGGUACUGGGACUCGGUAUUGCAUGUACAGGAUAGGUGGGAGGCUGAGAGACAGUAACGCCAGUUAUUGUGGAGCCGCUGUUGGGAUACCACCCUUGCAGUAUUGGGUUUCUAACCAGCCGCCGUGACCCGGCGGUGGGACAAUGCCAGACGGGGAGUUUGACUGGGGCGGUCGCCUCCGAAAGGGUAUCGGAGGCGCCCAAAGGUUCCCUCAGAAUGGACGGAAACCAUUCGAAGAGUGCAAAGGCAGAAGGGAGCUUGACUGCGACACCGACGGGUGGAGCAGGUACGAAAGUAGGGCUUAGUGAUCCGGUGGUAUUAAGUGGGAAUGCCAUCGCUCAACGGAUAAAAGCUACCCUGGGAUAACAGGCUUAUCACUCCCAAGAGUUCACAUCGACGGAGUGGUUAGGCACCUCGAUGUCGGCUCAUCGCAUCCUGGAGCUGUAGUAGGUCCCGAGGGUUGGGCUGUUCGCCCAUUAAAGCGGUACGCGAGCUGGGUUCAGAACGUCGUGAGACAGUUCGGUCCCUAUCCGGCGUGGGCGUAGGAUAUCUGAGAGGAGCUGUCCUUAGUACGAGAGGACCGGGAUGGACGGGCCGCUGGUGCAUCGGUUAGACUGCCAAGUCUACGGCCGAGUAGCCAAGCCCGGAAGGGAUAAACGCUGAAGGCAUCUAAGCGUGAAGCCCCCCUUAAGAUGAGAUAUCCCAUUCGUGAGAAGUAAACCCCCUUGAAGACGACGAGGUAGAUAGGGCAGAGGUGGAAGUGUGGCAACACAUGGAGCUGACUGUUACUAAUCGGGUGAGGGCUUGACC
rnacentral:rRNA from 1 species